CAAUUUCAAUAUCAAUUCCCAAAACCUCUCUCCAAACAACACCUUAACUCCCACCAUCCAUGCUACCUUCUUCUUCUCUUCUUCCCUCAUCAUUAAUCUUAUUAUCAUUAUUAUUUUUCAAUAUAAUCUAUUUUUUUUUCAUAUCUAUAUUCCUCAUCAUUAAAUCAAAUCUCCCAUUUCUACAUUUAUCACUAUACAAUAAAACAAAUCUACCAAACAAAGAAAUGGAGCUGAUCAAGGCUAGUGUUAUUGCUACUCUACUUGUGCUUCUCCUCCUCCCCGGGCCGGGCUUUUCACGAGGGAGGAGUUUGCAUGUGAAGAAAAUGGGAUCAUCGGAUAUUAUUUACGAGAUUGAUUAUAGAGGUCCGGAAACCCACACGUACCUUCCACCACCCAAUCGAGCCGGCGGCCGCCCCGGAGUCCACCACAAAACCACCACGGCCGCCCGUCACAAAUCUCAACCAAUUAAUGGAAAGAAGAUUGUGGGCUGAUUGAUCCAGAGGGUUUUAUUUUAUUUUAUUUUAUCCGAUCCAGCAAUAUAGAAUUAAGUAGUUUGGAUGAAAUUUGCAUAUUUAAGUUGUGAUUAUGAUUCUAUAAUAUAUAGCUAAGUAGUAACAGUGUUCUGUUUAUUGAAAUGGAAAGCCACAUUUAUUUACACUGGCGAUUCUUGUAAUCAAUCGACACCUUUAAUUUAUUUUGCCUUAUUAAUAUUACACCAUAAAUUUGAGGAUUA